rnacentral:rRNA from 1 species
UACAGAGGUCCCAAGCGUUGUUCGGAUUUACUGGGCGUAAAGGGUGCGUAGGCGGUCGGGUAAGUCUGGUGUGAAAUCUUCGAGCUUAACUCGGAAACUGCAUUGGAUACUAUUCGGCUAGAGAGUUGGAGGGGGGAUUGGAAUACUUGGUGUAGCAGUGAAAUGCGUAGAUAUCAAGUGGAACACCAGUGGCGAAGGCGAGUCUCUGGACAUUUCCUGACGCUGAGGCACGAAAGCCAGGGGAGCAAACGGG